rnacentral:tRNA from 1 species
CAGGGAGACAACAAAAUGUUAAAUAUUAAUUUUGUCACCUUAGGUCGAUCGGUAUCUCACAUUCUUAAUUAAUUUAAGGAUUUUAUUUCCUAAGUUUUUUCUAGGUCACACCCAUUACUUUUUCCUGGGCCAUUAGCUCAGGUGGUUAGAGCGCACCCCUGAUAAGGGUGAGGUCCCUGGUUCAAGUCCAGGAUGGCCCAUAUCUCUAUGUUGGGGGUAUAGCUCAGUUGGUAGAGCGCCUGCUUUGCAAGCAGGAUGUCAGCGGUUCGAGUCCGCUUACCUCCACUGAUCACCACCUCUUCCAUAAUUUAUAGAAGGGAAUUGUUUUGAGUUGUGAUCAAAUCCUGAACGAAUCUAGCUUCCUAAUCAAACGUAUUAAGAUGCUGGACUCAUUGAAUUAAUUUCAUUGUUUUCAGAGAACCUUGACAACUGCAUAGAUUAUUUUUAAAGACAAUAAGCAUCUUUAAUGAUGCAGAUUUAUUAUUUGUGCGAAUGCAUUAAUAACAAUUCUAUUAAGCUGAUGCUUCAAUUUUUGAAGUUAUU